rnacentral:rRNA from 1 species
AGGAUAAACGCUGGCGGCGUGCAUGAGACAUGCAAGUCGAACGGACGAUCAGGGCUUGCUCUGAUCGUUAGUGGCGGACGGCUGAGUAACGCGUAGGUGACCUGCCCCGAAGUGGGGAAUAACUGCCCGAAAGGGUGGCUAAUACCGCAUGUGGUGGUGUGUUCAUUCACACCAGUAAAGCCGCAAGGCGCUUCGGGAGGGGCCUGCGUCCGAUUAGCUCGUUGGUGGGUAACGGGCUCACCAAGGCGACGAUCGGUAGGUGGUCUGAGAGGACGAUCACCCAGACUGGGACUGAGACACGGCCCAGACUCCUACGGGAGGCAGCAGUCGGGAAUUUUGCGCAAUGGACGAAAGUCUGACGCAGCAACGCCGCGUGAGGGAGUGAAGGCCUUCGGGUUGUAAACCUUCUUUUAUCGUAGGAAGAUAAGUAGACGGUACCGUGAGUAGAAUAAGUACACGGACUAACUACGUCGACCAGCAGCCGACGGUAAUCGUGACGCGGG